GUAAAUGUUUAUAGGCACAAAGGCCCAUCAAUUACAUUCUAUAAACAUACAUUGGGGUAUAUGAAAAACAUAGACCUGAAAAUGUAAGAAAAGACAUCAAGUCAAUCCUCAAUCCUAAGUGCUAAAAGCAUUCAGAGAGAUUCUCAGGUCUACAAGGGGUGCACAGGUGAAGAUACAAAGAUGACAAGUGUGCACAUGCUCCCUAGAGAGCCAGCAACAACUUAUCAGGUUUAUUUCAAUAAUGAUCCUUCCGCAGGUUCACCUACGGAAA
rnacentral:misc_RNA from 1 species